rnacentral:rRNA from 1 species
UAUGUGCUGAAUUCAUAGGCACAUAAGGCGAACCUGGGGAACUGAAACAUCUAAGUACCCAGAGGAAAAGAAAUCAACUGAGAUUCCGUCAGUAGCGGCGAGCGAAAGCGGAACAGCCCAGUUACUAAAUCAUUAUUGGCUUUAGCAGAAUGUUCUGGAAAGUUCAGCCAUAGUGGGUGAUAGCCCCGUAUAUAAAAGGGCUAAUAAUAUGGGUAACGAUGAGUAGGUCGGGACACGUGAAAUCUUGACUGAAUAUGGGGGGACCAUCCUCCAAGGCUAAAUACUGCUUACUGACCGAUAGCGAACUAGUACCGUGAGGGAAAGGUGAAAAGAACCCCGGUAAGGGGAGUGAAAUAGAACCUGAAACCGUAUGCGUAUAAGCAGUCAAAG